rnacentral:tRNA from 1 species
GUUACCUCAGUUGAGAUAGCGCUGGACUUCAAAUCCGAAGAUCGCGGGUUCGAUACCCGUCCUAACC